rnacentral:rRNA from 1 species
AUGGGCCAGCAGUCCAAAAGGACGCGUGCGCCGGCGCCUCAGGUCGUCCCGCCGUCGCUGCCUCAAUUCGUUCCGCCGUUGAUGCCGCAUCUCGUCCCGCCGUCGGCGCCACACCUCGUCCCGCCCCCGUCGGCGCCGCACCUCGUCCCGCCGCCGUCGGCGCCACACCUCGUCCCGCCGCCACGCCAGCCCGGACCAGGUGCCUCGAUCCCCCCACGGCCACCAAAGGCAGCGGCGGCCUCUGCACCAUGCUGGCUGCCCCAGACGCAAGGCCCUUUGUGGUACACGAAUGUUGAUGAUCUGAAUCCAGAAGCAUGGGGAGUGGAUUCUCACCCACCUGGUGGGUUCCUUGGUUUUUUUAAGAACAUGCCAAGCCUUUCCCAAGCUGUGAGCAAUGGGACUUCAUCGCAACAAAUCAAGAAAGGAGAUGCCACCAAUGGUGGCGAGUGUGCAAGGACUGAAAAGCGCUUGCUGUGGACAAAAGAGGAAGAUCUUAGAUUGGUUGGUGCUUGGUUGAAUAAUUCAAACGAUCCAAUCCAAUCAAAUUACAAGAAGAACGACCAAUACUGGAACGAAGUUGCUGCUGUCUACAAUAGUACCACUCCCAAAAACAGGGAAAGGCUAGUCAAGCAAGUGAAGGAUCGCUUUGGGAGAAUUAAGAAAAGGGUUGCAUGGUUUUGUGGGAGUUACAAGGAAGCUAGUGCACUGUAUGCUAGUGGUGAAUCUGAUGCAGAUUUAAAGAAGAGGGCAAUGCAAACUUAUGAGGCAGAUCACCCAGGAGACGGUCCAUUUAUGUUUGAGCAUUGUUGGGUAGUUCUAAAAGAGCAACCAAAAUGGGAUGCAUAUUUGGAACGCCUAGAAGAUGUGGAGCCGGACAAGAAGAUGUAG